rnacentral:rRNA from 1 species
UACGAAGGGUGCAAGCGUUACUCGGAAUUACUGGGCGUAAAGCGUGCGUAGGUGGUUCGUUGAGUCUGAUGUGAAAGCCCUGGGCUCAACCUGGGAAUGGCAUUGGAUACUGGCGACCUAGAGUGCGGUAGAGGGGUGUGGAAUUCCCGGUGUAGCAGUGAAAUGCGUAGAUAUCUGGAGGAACAUCGGUGGCGAAGGCGGCAUCCUGGACCGGUAUUGACGCUGAGGCGCGAAAGCUAGGGGAGCAAACGGG